rnacentral:pre_miRNA from 1 species
CUUGGCACUGGCGGAAUAGUCACAGGAAGUGACAUGACGUGAUUGUUUCCUGGUGCCAAUAA